rnacentral:rRNA from 1 species
UACGAGGGGGGCGAGCGUUGUUCGGAAUUAUUGGGCGUAAAGGGUGCGUAGGCGGUUCCGCAAGUCCUGUGUGAAAUCUUCGGGCUCAACUCGAAGUCUGCACGGGAAACUGCGGGGCUUGAGUGUGGGAGAGGUGAGUGGAAUUCUUGGUGUAGCGGUGAAAUGCGUAGAUAUCAGGAGGAACACCUGUGGCGAAAGCGGCUCACUGGACCAUAACUGACGCUGAUGCACGAAAGCUAGGGAGCAAACAGG